rnacentral:rRNA from 1 species
GGAGCCAGAACACAGGUGCUGCAUGGCUGUCGUCAGCUCGUGUCGUGAGAUGUUGGGUUAAGUCCCGCAACGAGCGCAACCCUUGUCAUUAGUUGCCAUCAUUUAGUUGGGCACUCUAAUGAGACUGCCGGUGACAAACCGGAGGAAGGUGGGGAUGACGUCAAGUCCUCAUGGCCCUUAUGGGUAGGGCUUCACACGUCAUACAAUGGUCGGUACAGAGGGUUGCCAAGCCGCGAGGUGGAGCCAAUCCCUUAAAGCCGAUCGUAGUCCGGAUCGUAGUCUGCAACUCGACUACGUGAAGUCGGAAUCGCUAGUAAUCGCAGAUUAGCAUGCUGCGGUGAAUACGUUCCCGGGUCUU